CUGUGCAGUUUCAGUAGGAACAUCACAGAGCAAAUAAUUUUCCUCUCUCAUUCAUGCUGACUCUCUUAUAGCAGGACAGACAGUUUCUGCCUCUCUCUGGCUCCUCAAAGGAUUUGAUACAGGACUAGACGGGUACAGCUCCUCAAGUUCUAUUCCCAGACUCCUGCUUACUGACCAGAGGACACCUCCACAGAAUGCAACAGAAAUGAGUGAGAAGGCAGUAACCUAUGUAGACCUGAAAUUUCAAACUCCUUCUAAGCAGCAGAAGAAAAAGACAUCUACGAACACCAGGGACAAAGGUAAAUAAACGAGGAGGUGGUGACCUACAAAGAACUGAAAUGCCAGAAUACUACUGAGCAGCAGAGGAGACGAAGGACUACGAACCCCCA